UCGAUAAUUCAGAAUUUACAGUAUUGAUAGAAAUUGAAUCCCAAUCAGGGUUUAAAGUUUUGCAUUAAAUCACAUGUAUGCAAGAAUUUUAUGUUCUUAAGAAUUACGAUGCUAUUAAUCUAAAUCAAUAUGCAAUUAUAAUACAAUAUUAAAUAUUUAUUUCAGUUUAUUUGAAACGUUAAGUAAGUAGAGGCCCCUGAUGUAUAUCAUAAAUAGAUCAAGGGAAAAUCAAAACAAGGUCAAAAUAACCUGUAGUGACAUAACAACUUAAAACAGACAAUUCUCAAGAUGUUUAUGGCAAGUACAUGUAGGUAUACUCAUAUUUAAUGUAUGUAUUAGAUCGCCUUGAUAUCGGAUUGUGAUUUUCAUUUCCUAACAGAUUGAAGGGAGCAUAGUUACUAUAUUUACUCCAAUGGAGCCUGAUAUGGUGCAGGGGUUUCAACAGUCUCGUUUAAAGUCAGCAUUUCGCAAAUUCUAUCAUAUUACAAUUUAGGCUGUCAAUACAACCUAUGAUUGGGUCAAAUGCUGUCUUACUUGUUUUAUACCGAUUGUUAAGCCGUUCUUGACACACUGAUAACUCCGUUUACCUGAUCAAGAUAUAGGGAUCACAGCGGGUUUGACCGGUCGACAGGGGAUGCAUACUCUUAGGCACCUGAUCCCACCUCUGGUACAUCCAGAGGUCCGUGUCAGCCCAACUCUCUAUUUUGUAUUGCUUAUAGGAGUUAUGAGAUUGAUCAUUUGUUCGUUAUCUUUACCUUUCAUAUGGAGGGUGGAGAUGAUGAAAAAUAAAAGCAUGGAGGUGUUUAGGUGGAGGUGACAACACAACAGCAAUGUUAAACGUAUAGAAAGAAAUAGACCCAAGCAUCCAAAAGAGAUCAGACAAGAAUCAUAUCAAGGAAAACGUUUCCAAUUCACUGUAUAGUCUCCCGAAGAGGUGCAGCUCUUUAUCAACCAAAGUCAUAAGAGCAUCUAUUUUUCAUACAAAAUAGAUGCAUUUAUUUUACGAGAAAUACUCGCAUUUAAUUCGGGUGCGGGAUAUUGGGGCCCCAAUGAAUAAGUACAAAUGUGCAUCACAUCGGGAUCGGCCUCCUUUCUGAUGCUGACUUCAACCAGAGCAGUCGAAGAAAUAAUUUGAGAAAUACUCGUUCCUUGCCUUAGUAUACGAGAUGGUAGCUGUUUCCCAUUAUGUUGUCGUGGCAUAUCUGUUGUGAUGGAGGCGUUUGCGCACACCAAGUCAACUGAUUCUAUAGGUAUUGGUGUAUUGCCAGUGAAUUUGAAACUGUUCUGUGCAUUUGAACUGUGACUGAAUUUGUGAAACUGUGACUGUUGUCAAAUGAUUGCUAUUAUCACAACUCCCAACUGAUUCCAGAACUCUAAAUCAACUCUCAAUUGAUCCAUAUCUAUUGUGUUGCCAGUGAAUUUGAAACUGUUCUGUGAUUUGUGACUGUGAUUUGGUGAAACUUGCUGUUGAAAAAAUGAGUGCUUUUAUCAUAAUGCAUUGCAUAAUUGAGCUAAAUAUUGGGUUAAUUUAACAUACUCUAAUUAAUUAAGUAACCAUCCGCGGUUGACCCGGGGUGGUCUUUUCUGAACUUGUUGAUUGAUGUUGCAUUUUGUGUUGAUGUUGCUUUUGUGUGGGUUUGCCCAUAUGAGUUGUUAUUGAAUGGCAUCCCACAAAUUCUUGCUUUAUGCCACAGCCAAUACUCGCCAAAUAAAGUUUAAACUGGU